UGGCUCAGUGGUUAAGAGCACUGACUGCUCUACCAGAGAUCCUGGGUUCAAUUCCCAG
rnacentral:tRNA from 1 species